rnacentral:lncRNA from 1 species
CUGCCUUCUCAAGCCUCAGCUCAGCCAACCUCAGGCCCACAGGCCCACACUAGCAGGCCCAGUACCAAUCUCUCUGAGGGCCGAGCCAGGACACUGCAGGGUCUCACAGACUUCCAAGAGACUGGGCUGGCUGCCCAGCAGCUGCAGGAAACUGAUGGUCCAGAGCACAGAGUUCCAGGGUUCAACCCACAUGUGAGUUCUGUGGGCCCUUGGUGAGCUGCAGACAUGGGCCACCAGGUCUGGGCGGGCUGAGGUUCUGUCUCCCUCCACCCAGGGCUGCUGAGGCUGCUGGUCCUUGGGCCACAGCGGAGCAGAGCUGUGGCCUCGGCGAGCUUGGCUCCAGGGCAGAGAGGACGGCCAACUCCACGCAGCGGCGCCGAGUGUGGCCCAAAGCAGAUGCUGUGGUGUCAGGACAACGGGAGCUCAAGUCGCACCCCAGCUCCUCCCUCCACCUGUUCUUCCGCCCUAGAGAUAGCCACGCGGGUCAGAGGGAGCACAACAUCCAAAUUCUGCACAAUCCUCAGGGCCCACGGCUGGCCCUUCCACUCUGACUCCUCUAAGAAAGAAGGACUUGUGAGUCUUGCCGUUCACUGGGAAAACAACUGAGGAAGACCAUGGUAAGGCCUGGACUCCUGUCAAAAGGUGUUAUAGCUGUGUCUCGAUGUCCCUCCAAAGCCUCAUGCAGUCAUAGGUGGGGCUUCUCAGAUCUAGGUGUGAAUGUGGAUUAAGGGUGUCAUUUUGGGAUUAAGAGUGUGUGGUACCAGAUUAGUCCACUAAUUGGUUUAGUAUAGUUUUGGGCAUGGUAAUAGGAAUCCGCACCCUUGGUGUGGGUGGCACCACCCGAAAGGGUGGUAGCCUGGACGGAAUAAAAGGGAAAGGGAGGCUUGCUGCUGCUCCUGGGGCUCACUGCCUGUCUCCUGCUCCCUGUGCCAUGGACUAUUUCUCCUCUGCCAGGCCACCCUGCCCUGGAGCCAGCAGACUAUGGACUGAAAACCUCUACAACCUGUGAGCCAAAAUAAAGGUUUCCUCCUUUAAUUUGUGGGUGUUGGGUAUUUUGUCCCAGCAACAAAAAAAGUAACUAAGUCAAGGAUUAACCCAGGUCUUUUCCAGAAUGCUCACUGACCGUGGGUUAAAUACAUAUUUAUCAGGAGUUCAGGAUUUAUACAAAUACAUAUUUAUGUUUAAUUUCAAUGACAUGUAACCUGAAGUGAAAUAAAUAACGAAGCCCAGCUAUGAAAUCCUCGUGAUUUUGAGACAGGUAUCCCUCUGAGUGAACUGAAGGGAAACUGGCUUCUACCUGGAGCGUAUUUCCAUCUCAAGUUGAUUUACUCUAUGAGACAAAACCUCUUGUAUCAUCAUAAAAAGGAACUCAUAUGCACAGCAGACGUCUAAGUGACUCUGUCAACUUUUCCUGAGAGCAGAGGGUUCGGAAG